UACAGAGGGGGCAAGCGUUGUUCGGAAUUACUGGGCGUAAAGGGCGCGUAGGCGGCCUUCUAAGUCGAACGUGAAAUCCCCGGGCUCAACCCGGGAACUGCGUCCGAUACUGGAAGGCUUGAAUCCGGGAGAGGGAUGCGGAAUUCCAGGUGUAGCGGUGAAAUGCGUAGAUAUCUGGAGGAACACCGGUGGCGAAGGCGGCAUCCUGGACCGGCAUUGACGCUGAGGCGCGAAAGCCAGGGAGCAAAGCGGG
rnacentral:rRNA from 1 species